rnacentral:rRNA from 1 species
UAAAGUUGUUGCAGUUAAAAAGCUCGUAGUUGAAUUUCGGGAUCAUCAGGUUGGUCGUGCCUCCGGUAUGUACUUGCUUCGGUGGUCCCUCCUUCUUGAAGAACCGUAAUGCCAUUAAUUUGGUGUUGCGGGGAAACAGGACUGUUACUUUGAAAAAAUUAGAGUGUUUAAAGCAGGCAAUCGCUUGAAUACAUUAGCAUGGAAUAAUGAAAUAGNACGUUCGAUCUUAUUUUGUUGGUUUCUAGGAUUGACGUAAUGAUUAAUAGGG